CAAAAGAGCAAGGGUGGUGGUUCGAGUAUUGACUCAGGUCUACCCCUGAGUUUGGCUCGCAUUAGUAAAAGAAGAAAAAAUAAGUUCUAGAUCAUGGACUUCUUAUAAUCCAAAUCUCUUUUUCUUAUUUUGUUGGGUUGAUUAAUGAUGAUUACAAUUCUCACGUCCUUUAUUUAUGUAUUAUUAAUCCCAAUUGCACUGACGGCUUCGACUAGUGGGAUUGUUGCUUGUGAUUCACGCGCAACAGGGAACGUGACAGGUGAGAAAGAAACGUUUAGUGGUGGAAAGGAUGGUGGGAGGAAGACGAGGGACUGGGGCAAUAAAUGACGGACAGAAGUUGUUGGGAGAAAGCGUUGCUGUCAUUUAAUGCUGAGGGUUUGGCGGUGUCUAAAGCUACGUGUACAAACCAAUGAAAGCUAUACGUUAGAAGUCUUUAGCUGACGGACAAUGGAGUGAAGAGGGUCUUCCAUGGGAUAGCAACGUUGUUUGGUGGUGGUUUUUUAUUAGCCUUAUGCCACAAGAAACUAAAUUACACUCAUAUUUCUUGAAGAAGCUAUGAACUACCGGGGCUUGGAAAAUGGAAUAGUGUGGAGGGGCGUUUACCUUUUCCUAAUUUGCCAAAAUUCAACAAAAGAAAAAGGGUGGGGGAGGGGGGGUGCAAAAUAAAGCCGAAAAUAGAAGAUCUUCUUGCGUAUCUGGCGAAGAUCAUUGGACCUCUACCUAUCCAUCACGCAACCUGUUGAAGCAUUGUCUGUGAACGAUAAUGCAUGGUGGGUUAGAUUUGCUCUGGCAGGAAAAAGAAAAUGUAUGGAGACGCACGUGAGAAGGCGUCCAUGGAAGAAGAAAUAGAAAUAGAAAGACAAAGAAGGCAAUAAAGUCAAGAAAGUGAAAGGCUAUCCGCAAAGAGGGAAUGGGGAAGGUGGUCCCUUGAAAGGGUUUUUGGGACAACUUCAGAGUUCAGAUCCCAACCCUGUGGCCCAUCACCUAUGGGCUAUGUCAUUCAAUCUUCAUUAGGUCCAAAAUGUCCUCCUCCGACACAUCACAUAUCCCUUCUUCAGCGUCUCCUUCGCUUCCCUUCCCCACCCAUCACCUGCACGUGGAGUGUGGGUUCCACUCCAUGCUUUCAUGCCUAAUCCAUUCCCACCUCCUCACUCUUCCCCCUCUUAGAUUUAAUGUUAAUUAUGAUGAACCUAUACUAUACAGACAUUCUUGCCACUGUAUUAAAAAUUUAAAUUAUUAACAAAAAUGUAAUUUUAAUUUCUUAUAAUGUGACAAUUUAAGUGUCAUUAAU
rnacentral:misc_RNA from 1 species